CCGUGAGUCAGUGGUUGAUAUAAUUAAUAAGUGAUUUCAUACCGUCUCGUAGGACUUUUCAGAAUACCACCAGUUGGCCAAAAUAAUGUAAAUUGCUGUGAUGGAGAGUGAAUGCACCGUUCACAGGUCUUAGGGAUGAUCUGUCUUCCGCUCAUUGGUCUGCUCCGUGGCGUGGGAAUGGAUGUAUCCAGAGUGGAUGAUUCAUUUUCCCAUGAAACCUUUGAAGGAUGUGGCUGGCUUCUGGUGAUCAUAGCAUUGAAGACCGUUGCUGAGAUCCCUUUCACUCAUUAGGAGGAUCUGCAUGGUGAUCUUCUAAAUCUAACAUUCUUCGGUUGUUAGCUGGAAUGCUUCCAUAAAGAGAAACUCUUCUGUAUCAAGUUCUCACUUAUCCUGAGGAGCAAGCUUGUAAUAGAAAAGCAAGAUAAAUGCCGGUUCUCUCCCUUUAUUUACCAGUUUCAAAAUGAGUUGGUUAACUGGCUUCCUCUAAAAGUGACCAAUACUUUUUUAAAUGAAUUUAUGGAUUUAAACACAUUUGAUAUGUUUGAAUCCACUUGUAAUCUUUAUACUGUUUGAUGAUCAAAUUACCCAAUUUUUGGCUAGGGGAGCCUCUUUUAAUUGGC
rnacentral:lncRNA from 1 species